rnacentral:rRNA from 1 species
UCAAGUGGCGAACGGGUGAGUAACACGUGGGUGAUCUGCCCUGCACUCUGGGAUAAGCCUGGGAAACUGGGUCUAAUACCGGAUAUGACCAACUGUCGCAUGGUGGUUGGUGGAAAGCUUUUGCGGUGUGGGAUGGGCCCGCGGCCUAUCAGCUUGUUGGUGGGGUAAUGGCCUACCAAGGCGACGACGGGUAGCCGACCUGAGAGGGUGAUCGGCCACACUGGGACUGAGACACGGCCCAGACUCCUACGGGAGGCAGCAGUGGGGAAUAUUGCACAAUGGGCGGAAGCCUGAAGCAGCGACGCCGCGUGAGGGAUGACGGCCUUCGGGUUGUAAACCUCUUUCACCAGGGACGAAGCGUGAGUGACGGUACCUGGAGAAGAAGCACCGGCCAACUACGUGCCAGCAGCCGCGGUAAUACGUAGGGUGCGAGCGUUGUCCGGAAUUACUGGGCGUAAAGAGCUCGUAGGCGGUUUGUCGCGUCGUCUGUGAAAUUCUGCAACUCAAUUGCAGGCGUGCAGGCGAUACGGGCAGACUUGAGUACUACAGGGGAGACUGGAAUUCCUGGUGUAGCGGUGAAAUGCGCAGAUAUCAGGAGGAACACCGGUGGCGAAGGCGGGUCUCUGGGUAGUAACUGACGCUGAGGAGCGAAAGCGUGGGUAGCGAACAGGAUUAGAUACCCUGGUAGUCCACGCCGUAAACGGUGGGUACUAGGUGUGGGUUCCUUUUCAC